AUUGAACGCUGGCGGCAGGCUUAACACAUGCAAGUCGAGCGGAGAGAGGUAGCUUGCUACUGAUCUUAGCGGCGGACGGGUGAGUAAUGCUUAGGAAUCUGCCUAUUAGUGGGGGACAACAUUUCGAAAGGAAUGCUAAUACCGCAUACGUCCUACGGGAGAGAGCAGGGGAUCUUAGGACCUUGCGCUAAGAGAUGAGCCUAAGUCGGAUUAGCUAGUUGGUGGGGUAAAGGCCUACCAAGGCGACGAUCUGUAGCGGGUCUGAGAGGAUGAUCCGCCACACUGGGACUGAGACACGGCCCAGACUCCUACGGGAGGCAGCAGUGGGGAAUAUUGGACAAUGGGCGGAAGCCUGAUCCAGCCAUGCCGCGUGUGUGAAGAAGGCCUUAUGGUUGUAAAGCACUUUAAGCGAGGAGGAGGCUACUUUAGUUAAUACCUAGAGAUAGUGGACGUUACUCGCAGAAUAAGCACCGGCUAACUCUGUGCCAGCAGCCUCGGUAACAC
rnacentral:rRNA from 1 species